AAUCAACGCUGGCGGCGUGCCUAACACAUGCAAGUCGAACGGGGUCCAUGGGAGCUUGCUCCCGGAAGACCUAGUGGCGAACGGGUGAGUAACACGUGAGAAACCUGCCCUGGAGUGGGGAAUAACUCGGGGAAACUCGAGCUAAUACCGCAUACCCUCGGAUGGUCGCAUGGCCGACCGAGGAAAGAUUCAUCGCUUCAGGAGGGUCUCGCGGCCUAUCAGCUAGUUGGUGGGGUAACGGCCUACCAAGGCAACGACGGGUAGCUGGUUUGAGAGAACGAUCAGCCACACUGGGACUGAGACACGGCCCAGACUCCUACGGGAGGCAGCAGUGGGGAAUCUUGCGCAAUGGGCGAAAGCCUGACGCAGCAACGCCGCGUGCGGGAUGACGGCCCUCGUGGUUGUAAACCGCUUUCAGCAGGGACGAAAUGACGGUACCUGCAGAAGAAGCCCCGGCUAAC
rnacentral:rRNA from 1 species